rnacentral:rRNA from 1 species
GACGAACGCUGGCGGCGUGCCUAAUACAUGCAAGUCGAGCGGACGGAUCGGAAGCUUGCUUUUCUUUCGUUAGCGGCGGACGGGUGAGUAACACGUGGGCAACCUACCCUUUAGACUGGGAUAACUUCGAGAAAUCGUUGCUAAUACCGGAUAACACUUAAUAUCGCAUGACUCAUCGUUGAAAGACGGCCCUGGCGUCCGCUAUAGAUUGAUCCCCGCUGCAUUAGCUAGUUGGUAAGGUAACGGCUUACCAAGGCCACGAAUCCUAGCCGACCUGAGAGGGUGAUCGGCCACACUGGGACUGAGACACGGUCCAGACUCCUACGGGAGGCAGCAGUAGGGAAUCUUCCGCAAUGGACGAAAGCCUGACGGAGCAACGCCGCGUGAGUGAAGAAGGUCUUCGGGUCGUAAAGCUCUGUUGUUAGGGAAGAACAAGUAACGAAGUAACUGGCGUUACCGUGACGGUACCUAAUGAGAAAGCCACGGCUAACUACGUG